rnacentral:ncRNA from 1 species
CUACUGUCACAGGGCCUUGGUGCACGGGAAACCGGUGAAGAACCGGUGCGGCCCUCGCCACUGUGAUCGGGAAGUCCGGUUCCACCCUCUGGGAGCCACUGGGAUGCCGCGGAGCGCCGCGGCACCCGGGAAGGCGGAGUCCGGGCGGCAUGACCCGUAAGCCAGGAGACCGGCCAGGGCGCGUCGUCCAUC